rnacentral:rRNA from 1 species
AUUGAACGCUGGCGGCAGGCCUAACACAUGCAAGUCGAGCGGAUGAAGGGAGCUUGCUCCUGGAUUCAGCGGCGGACGGGUGAGUAAUGCCUAGGAAUCUGCCUGGUAGUGGGGGAUAACGUCCGGAAACGGGCGCUAAUACCGCAUACGUCCUGAGGGAGAAAGUGGUGGAUCUUCGGACCUCACGCUAUCAGAUGAGCCUAGGUCGGAUUAGCUAGUUGGUGGGGUAAAGGCCUACCAAGGCGACGAUCCGUAACUGGUAUGAGAGGAUGAUCAGUCACACUGGAACUGAGACACGGUCCAGACUCCUACGGGAGGCAGCAGUGGGGAAUAUUGGACAAUGGGCGAAAGCCUGAUACAGCCAUGCCGCGUGUGUGAAGAAGGUCUUCGGAUUGUAAAGCACUUUAAGUUGGGAGGAAGGGCAGUAAGUUAAUACCUUGCUGUUUUGACGUUACCAACAGAAUAAGCACCGGCUAACUUCGUG